rfam:Triticum aestivum genome assembly, contig: Triticum_aestivum_CS42_TGACv1_scaffold_032233_1BL
CAAGUACUUCCUCCGUUUCAAGUUACUCGUCGCAUAGAUGGAUGUAUCUAGAACUAAAAUACAUCUAGAUACAUCCAUACCCGCGACAACUAAUUCGGAACGGAGGGAGUAUACA